rnacentral:rRNA from 1 species
AUUGAACGCUGGCGGCAGGCCUAACACAUGCAAGUCGAGCGGAUGACGGGAGCUUGCUCCUUGAUUCAGCGGCGGACGGGUGAGCAAUGCCUAGGAAUCUGCCUGGUAGUGGGGGACAACGUUUCGAAAGGAACGCUAAUACCGCAUACGUCCUACGAGAGAAAGCAGGGGACCUUCGGGCCUUGCGCUAUCAGAUGAGCCUAGGUCGGAUUAGGUAGUUGGUGGGGUAAUGGCUCACCAAGGCGACGAUCCGUAACUGGUCUGAGAGGAUGAUCAGUCACACUGGAACUGAGACACGUCCAGACUCCUACGGGAGGCAGCAGUGGGGAAUAUUGGACAAUGGGCGAAAGCCUGAUCCAGCCAUGCCGCGUGUGUGAAGAAGGUCUUCGGAUUGUAAAGCACUUUAAGUUGGGAGGAAGGGCAGUAAGUUAAUACCUUGCUGUUUUGACGUUACCGGCAGAAUAAGCACCGGCUAACUCUGUGCCAGCCGCCGCCGUAA